AUUGAACGCUGGCGGCAGGCUUAACACAUGCAAGUCGAGCGGAGAUGAGGUGCUUGCACCUUAUCUUAGCGGCGGACGGGUGAGUAAUGCUUAGGAAUCUGCCUAUUAGUGGGGGACAACAUUCCGAAAGGAAUGCUAAUACAGCAUACGUCCUACGGGAGUAAGCAGGGGAUCUUCGGACCUUGCGCUAAUAGAUGAGCCUAAGUCGGAUUAGCUAGUUGGUGGGGUAAAGGCCUACCAAGGCGACGAUCUGUAGCGGGUCUGAGAGGAUGAUCCGCCACACUGGGACUGAGACACGGCCCAGACUCCUACGGGAGGCAGCAGUGGGGAAUAUUGGUCAAUGGGGGGAACCCUGAUCCAGCCAUGCCGCGUGUGUGAAGAAGGCCUUAUGGUUGUAAAGCACUUUAAGCGAGGAGGAGGCUACUGAGACUAAUACUCUUGGAUAGUGGACGUUACUCGCAGAAUAAGCACCGGCUAACUCUGUGCCAGCCGCCGCGGUAAGAC
rnacentral:rRNA from 1 species